UACGGAAGGCAGCAGUGGGGAAUAUUGCACAAUGGGCGCAAGCCUGAUGCAGCCAUGCCGCGUGUAUGAAGAAGGCCUUCGGGUUGUAAAGUACUUUCAGCGGGGAGGAAGGCGAUGCGGUUAAUAACCGCGUCGAUUGACGUUACCCGCAGAAGAAGCACCGGCUAACUCCGUGCCAGCAGCCGCGGUAAUACGGAGGGUGCAAGCGUUAAUCGGAAUUACUGGGCGUAAAGCGCACGCAGGCGGUCUGUUAAGUCAGAUGUGAAAUCCCCGGGCUUAACCUGGGAACUGCAUUUUGAAACUGGCAGGCUUGAGUCUUGUAGAGGGGGUAGAAUUCCAGGUGUAGCGGUGAAAUGCGUAGAGAUCUGGAGGAAUACCGGUGGCGAAGGCGGCCCCUGGGACAAAGCUGACGCUCAGGGU
rnacentral:rRNA from 1 species